rnacentral:tRNA from 1 species
CAGAGCAAGAGGGCGGAUGUAGCCAAGUGGAUCAAGGCAGUGGAUUGUGAAU